CGUUGACAGACGUUCCUGUCCGCCGGAUCUUGCCUCCCGCCGCGCUUCUCCGACUCUCUUCCCUAGACUCUUCUUUUUCCUCCCUCUUCACCUUAACACUUCUGCUUUCGUAUUUUUUUUGUACUUUUUUUCUUUGUUCGCUUUUCCGUUUUCUUCGGAACCCCCUGCUGCUUCAAUAAUGUAUGCCUAGUUCAAUUUGCUUAACGAAUGAAGUGGGUAGCUUGCUAUAUUUUUUUCAAAAAAAAUUAUACUUCACUAUUCUAGCUAGUAAAAAAAUUAUUUUAUUCCAUUUUUUUUCUUAUUUUAGUUUAAAUUAAGUUAGAACUUUUACAUUCAUUCUACUUCGAUUAGUUUUAUAAUGUAUAUUUUUAGAGAGUUUUUUUAUGGGACGAAUCUAAAAAUCGCACUUAUCCCUUUUUUUAAUUUUUAAAAAAGAAUUGUAUCACUUUGCAAGAAACAUCAUUUUUGCCUUAUUGCAUGGCACAUGCACUUUUCAAUUUAAAUAUGGUGGCCGAUUCAAAGGACUCUCUACCACUAAAUUUGCCUUGUUUUAUUAAGUAACGUUCACUUCUAUAAUUUGUACCCAAAGACAUUCCAAAUUCAAAUCCUAAUUGAUUUAUAUUUUUAACUAAAUUUAUUUUUUAAAAAAAAUAAACGAAGUGGGGGUAGCAUGCUAGCUUAAUUUCUCUCUAAAAAAAAAAAAAACAUUCACUUCUAUAAUUUGUACAAAUAGUUUUUUUCUGCACUAGAAUCCAAAACAAAAUGGAAUUUUACUUUGUGAUUUAGAAUUUCAUUUUCGUAAAAUUGUACAGAACUUAUCUGAACUAUGAAUUAUUUUGAGUCGAAAAAAUAAUCUUUUAAAAUUUUGAUUUUACUAUCCAACUUUUAAAUUUGCUUGAGUUGAGUCAGUCAACGACACUUUGACUUUGACUUUUGAAUACUUCAUUUAUUUUUAUAAAUUUAGUUAGUAUAUUAAAGUAAGCAAUUAGCUUAAAUGUUGAAGUUAAAGUGUCGUUGACUGAUUUAAAUCAAAUAAAUUAAAAACUUGGAUAGUAAAAUUAAAAUUUUGAAAAGUUGGAUAGUCGACUCAAAAUAGUCUAUAGUUCAUAUAAGUUCUGUACAGUACUUUUACCUUUCAUUUUUCUACUUUGGCCUAGUUUGAUGAUUUGGUGGUUAAAACCACCAAUUUAGUAUUUUAAAAUGUCUAAAAAUUUUAACACACUUCCGGUCUUUUCUUUUGCGGGAAUACGUAAUUGAAUGUGCCUAUCUACUAGUUCUCUAGUAGCGAUUGCCACCAUAAUUUUAUAGUAUAAAGAAAAAAGAUGUGAAUUGCUUUAAAAUUUUUGAAACAUUCAAACUACAAAAUAGAUUCUUUUAAUCACCACAUUACCAAACUACCAAACUUUAAUUAGAUUGCUUUAAAAUCUACUAUUUGUGGAAAAUGCAAGUUAUCUAAUUUAAUUGCAGUGCCAAAGAUUAAUAUAUUUACUAGUGCACCUCCUUAAAUUGGUUAAGCUAUAAUUGGCGGAGUUGAACUUAUAUGAAGAACGCACUAACAAAUUAAUCUGUAAAAAAUUUCGUGCUGACAGUUUAUCUUGACUGAGCAUCUUAGGUUUUUACAGUGGAAUUAAUGAGAGAUUGUAUUUAAAUUAAAGCGAGAUACAUGAUCAAAAUGAGCCUUUAUAGAAUAGUUUGUUAAUGUGUCUUUUACUUUAGCUGCGCUAUUUCAUAAACUCUUCGACAAAGACAAUAAGCUCCACACCCUAUCCUUAAUUUGUUAUCUACUACUGUGAAUGGCUUCGUAAUUUUCUCUUUUUAUGUGUCCUUAUCUCACUACAACAGUAUUAGAUUAAUGGGAUAAUUUCAUCAAUACCCUUCUAAGAGAUAGGAAUUUCAUAAAUGCCCCUAUAAAUUACAAAAUAUCAGCAAUACCCCUCUAUAAAACAAAAAUAUUCACAAAUACCCUUAAGAUUAACAUUCCGUUAAAAAGUCAUCUAAUAUUCUGUAAAUACCCAUUUUACCCUUAUUAAUUACUAAUUUAACUAAGUGUAAUAAUUUAAGAUUAAUUACAUGAUCAAGAUCAAUUCUUAACCUUUCAAUCACAUAAUAAUUCAACAUUCUUUUUAAAAUUUUACAAUUAAAUAUCUAUAGUCUAUUAAGUGUAAUAAUUAAAUCUUGUUAUAAUUUUUCGCAUGUAAAUUAUAUAUAGUUGUAAUGCAAUAUUCCAUUGUAAUAUUCAAUAUUAAUUUCAAGAUUUAAUUUUUUUGAAUUUUAUUUAAAUAACUCACAUAAGUCAUACAAAAAAUGUUUUGAUAUAAAUUUUUUUUGAUAUUAGUAUUUUUCAUAUGACCCAAUCAAGCAACAGUUUUUUAAUUGCACAUUUAUUGUCAACAAAAAAAUAACAUUGUAUGAAGACCCGCUCACCCAUUAGUCCACUUUGGCAUGGCCCUAGCUUUGAAUAAUAUAUAUAUAUUAUUAAUUGAGCUCCUAUAUUUUUAAAAGUAUCAAGUUAUUAGUGGUUGUAGAUUUGUGUCCAUUGGAUUAAGAGAUGUGCGGUUAGAUGAUGUUUCCACAUAUUUUAUCUACCAAUAAUUAGUACUAAAAAUAUUAUUUUUAAAAUUUGAAGGGUAUUUAUGAAAUUAUUUCUUUAUUAGUUGCUGUCAAAAGAACACCCCAACCGAGGGUAAAUUAGUCAUUUUAUAACCUAAUCUUAACGUCCGUUAGAAAAAAGGGUAUUUGUGAUAAUUUUCUACAUUUGAAGGGGUAUAUAUGAUAUUUUCAAUUUUAUAGGGGUAUUUACGAUAUUUAGAUAUUUAAGAGGGGUAGUGGUGAAAUUGCCCCUAGAUUAAUCAUAGGGAUAAAUUUUUCGGACACUUUUGUGUAAAUGUCUUAUUUAUGCCAAAUUUUUUUAAAAAACUCUACUAAGUUCUAAAUAUAAAGCCCAAUUCAACCAAAAAUAAAAAAAUUUCUCUACUCAACUAACCCCACCCAGCCCACUCAGUUCAAUUACAAAUAGAAAAGAAAAAAAAACUUUGAUCACCAUCUCCCCCUUUUCUUCUCCGCCGCCACAGUUGACGAGUUAGGGUUCUGGCGGUUGGAGUUCAGCUGCGAGAAUCUCACAGGAACCGUAGAAGAUUACGAUCGCCACGUGUCCUUUCGCCGCAAGUCGCUAGAAGAGUGGGUGCCAAACCUCGAGGCGGCCCCGCAUAUAGCGAUUCCACAUAUAGCAAUAUUUUUAAAAAGUAUCGAUAAUUUAACCAUCAAUAUUUUUUUGACAUGUACCAAUAUUUAAAAAGUGUCGUUAUACACCGUUUUUAUUGUAGUGUCUUCGAAAAUCAUGUGGAUCUUAAAUGCUAAUUAAUUAUUCUAAAAGCACUUGGUAAUAAGAAAGGCAUAUUUAUUACAUUUAAAAGUUCAGUCACGGCGCUCACGAGCUUUAACCUGACUCGAUCCAUCUGAAUGUUAGAUCUAUUGUUGGAUCUCUUACCGUCAGGUCUAUUGUGAAUCACAGUUCCACUCAAUUUAUUACAAGUUUUUUUUAAUUUAUUAUCACGAUUCAGAAAGUUGGAUCUAUUUUUCCACAUAAUUUAACAUCUUCUAAGUUUGUAUUCUGGAUCCGCCCUUGCAGGGGCUUUCACCACCACCACUACCAACCGUGUCAUUAGGCGUCUUCCGUGGCGAUAUUAACUGGCUCGAACCAAAUUAGAGUGACUCUUAAUCAAGCUAAUUAAACCUAUUAUCAAGUUCGACCCGGUGACGCGCACACGAACACGUGACAAAUAUUAUUAUAUGCUAGAUUAAGCGUAUAAGUUUUUGCAUGAUACGCGGGUGGACUAACAUUUGUAGUUGUACUAAUAUAAAAAUUAAGGUGUUAAUACCUGGCACGAUUUUUGACGUGAUCAUGAGCAUAAUUUUUGCGCUAAUUACCAAUUUUAUGCGUCUGCAUGGUUUUGACUUUUUUUUUCUUUUUUUUUUUUUUUUGGCUGAGGGGAGAAGCAGAAGCACUUGCUCUAACAAGCGAUCAAUCUUGGGAUUCGCGACAUACCUCUCAGCAUGCAUGAGCAUUUAUUAAGAAGCAGCGUUUUGUACAGGAUCCAAGACUAAAAAAAAAAAAAAAAUUAAAAGUGCAUGAUCCAAGGAAUUAUAGAAUAUAAAUUUGUGACCCCGCAUUUUUCAUAAUCAUUCAUUUUAAAAUUAUUCUAGCUCUAACAAGUUUAGUUUUUCUAAUAUUUUGUGUCUAAUCACUGUUUAAAAUAUUAUAGUUGUGUUAAAAGAUUUAGUCUUAUUAUAAAUCUCAUAUAUUGAGAGUGUCACAUUUCUCCUCCUUUUAAACCCUAAAAAGUUUCCGUCAAGCUCAAACAUAUUCACAAGUAUCAGGCAAUGUUGGACUCGUCUCGUUAGCCAUUAGCCCACCUUGUGGGAAGUUGCGUUUCACCCAUAUAAUCAGUCGGGGAGCAACACUCCACUCACUAUAUAAUUCUACCUCAGCCAAGUAUCAUCUCACUAGUGAUUGACUCUGAUACUAUGUGUAAUGUCCUACUUUCCAGUGGGUCAUCCAUUCUAGAAUAAUUCAGUUCUAACGCGAUUAACUCUCUUAACUUCUUUUGGUUCUAAUCAUCAUCUAAAAUACUAUGGUCGAGUUAAAAAUUUAGCACGGUUAUAUCUCAAAUGUAAGAUUAAAGAUGUCACAUAAUUAUUAGUUGUAACUAUGAUUGCCACAGAUAUUUGGUCAUAAACCUUAAUUACUAAUAUAUAUGGCACAAAUCAAUGUAGAUUUUAUGUUAAAAUCCUUCAUAUGGUUUAAACCAAAACUCAAAUUUAUAGCUACCAUUAGAAGUAAAUGUCGUUAUUGUGGCGAAAUAAUCUUGUUUAACCUCUUAUCAAUGCGACAUUUGUUAAAUUAAAAAGUUUAGAAAUGCUAAUGUGAAGAGAAGUUAAAAAUUGAUUACUUAAUAUUUCAUUUCACAACACUUCAGAAACGCUUAUGUAGAAAACUCCAAUCAAUCUAAACUGGUCAUAAUUAAUCGUUUUUCUACUAAAUAAAGGUCAAGUAUUAAUUAUUUUUUAUAUUACUUCUUUUGCGCGUGCACAUUGAUCAUUUGAGUUGGUACGCUCUAAUUAAGCGAAAAUAAAUGCACAAAUGGAAACUUCUUAUAGCAACAACGAACUCCUUGAAGCUUUGUAAUUAAUUAAACUUAUUCAAAGGGUCAAAGGGGUGAUCACCAAAACUAUUUUAACCUAUAUAUACAUAUAUAUAUAUAUAUAGUUAGGUGGAGUUCAAAUAUUUUAGCAUUAUAUUACCUCGAUAUUAGGGUAAGAUUGUUCCUGGUGCUUAAGGCAACAUCAUUUCAUGCAUGCAUGUGACAAUAUAAGUGCUUAAUUAAUUAACGUUUUACUAUAUAUAUAUAUAUAUAUAUAUAUAUAUAUGGGUCACAUAAUAUUAAUUUAAUUGCAUGAUGUAUAUAGAAUAAAUUAACUAGGGCCUGUGGAUUUUUUACUAAGCACUUGUGGAUUGUUUAGGGAAACAUUUUGAUGCGUUCAUAUUGAUCAUUAAACUUUAAUUUGUAUUAAUCAAACCAAUCAACUUUAAUUAAUUUCUGUUUCAAUAAGGGUCACUUUGUUUAAGAAGUAAUAGCUAUUUUGUUUAUUACAUUUCAUGCAUUCAAGGAAUUUAUGCAAGGAUUAAUAAUUGCUUUUGACUACAAUAUAAAAGUGCUUAAUGUAAUAGCAAACUAUGGGUGUCAUGCAUGGAAUAUUUAAUUAAUGUUUAACUAUGAAUUAGAAGUGUUUGACUUGCGACUUCUAGGUUGUUUAGGGAACAUAAUUAAUUAAUGUUAAUAUUUGCCAUUAUUGAAGAGAAUUUUGGUGUGAUUUCCAAUGCAAAUCAAGUGAAAUAAAAAGGGUAAAAUACAGAAAACCUCCGGUAAAUACCUGCUUUUUCAUUUCUCCCCUUGAUUUUCAAAAAUUUACAGUUUAGCCUCUCAAAAUUUCAAGUUGAUACAUUUAGCCUUCCCUCCGUCAAGGUUCCAUCAAUAUUCUGUCUUUUUUAUAAUUUAUACUGAAAAUGUCUUUGAAAAUGACAGAAAUAUAUCAACAUUUUUUUUUUUAUUAAACUCAUUUCACCCUCUUCAUUAGCGCCAUAACUUCUGAAAAUAUUUUUUAAAUUUUAAAGAGAUAAAAUAUAGAUUUUUGAAAGUCACAAAAAAAGAAAUUCUGUAUUUUAGCCAAAAUAAAAUAUACCUUGUAACAUGCUAAGAUGAAUAAAUUGGGUUUUUAUUGGUGUAAAUGGCAACCUUGGGCAUUUCAUUUGUUGGGUCACAACACUAAGAGAAUAUAAAAAAAAGGCCCAAUUUGCCUAAUUGCCUAAACAAUUGUAUAGCGUGCUAGGUCGAUUAUUUUGUCUGGUUUCUGAAACAACUUCUUUUAAAUUGUUUAGAGAAAUAGAAAUACAAUAUUUCACUUUAAUAUUUCUUGGUUGUUAAAAAUGGAAAAAAAAAAAAAACUAAACUAUUCUUGAGAAGUUUCUGGGAAAUUGAGGCACAUUUAUUUGUUUUAAUUUAGUUCUAUGGGCUUGGGCCCAUCCUUUAUUUUGCUAUUGGGCCUAUGGUUCACUUAUAACUAAUGCAUGCAAGUACCAAGCUAUUGGUGCUAUUAGAUUUUCGACCAUGAAAAAAUAUACGGUUAGAAUGUUAUUGGUUUAAUAGUAUAAUAUAACGGAUGAAAAUAGUCUAGUGGUUAAAUCUAACGGCGGAAAACUUAAUAGCACAAAAUGCUUGGUGCUAUCGAUAGUAUCCCAGCCAGAAUCUCUCUCUCUCUCUCUAUCUAUCUAUCUAUAUAUAUAUAUAGUUGGACUGGGCUACUAUUAGUAGCAAAAUUUCAUUGUUGCUACCAGUUUUUUAGCCUUUGGAUCAACUCUUUUCAUUAUUUCUAACCAUUGGAUUAAAUACUAUAACCCAAUGGGGACCACUCAACCCUAGGAGGACUACUCAACUCUAACCAACUAAUAUUAUUCUGACCUUACAAUAUUUAAUCUAAGGGUUAAAAACUUGAUAGCAAAAAGAGCGAUUUACUAUUAAUAGUAUUCCAGCCUAAUUCUAUAUAUAUUAUGCUGAUACAAACAAACAUCUAAAUAUGUACCUUAUCCGGAUCGAAUGAACUAAAAAAGUGGAGGUUGCACUUAUUUCAGGUCUAUCUCCUAACUCUGCCAAUUCCGAGCACGAGAGAGAAAUAGAGAGGGACACUAGUGAGUUGUUAGGCUUAGCCGCUUUCGUAAUAUAGCGCGUAGAUCUAACUAGAAAUUUGAAAUUUGAGUUUGAUCCGACAACAAAUACUAAGAGUGACCUAUGUGACCGUCUCGAAAGGCAUUUGACAAUUAUGCCCUCUGCAGGUAGUGAUGUAAAACGGGUCGGGCGGCCCCCCAACACGGAAAAAUUCUAGAAUGCAACGGGUAUAUUGGUGACGUGGCGUAACAAACCAAUCAAAAAUUUUCUUUUAAAGAUAUAUGUCCCAUCAUGAUUAUAAAAAGUUUUUUUUUUUUUUUUUUUGUUUGAAAAGAAGAAAGGUGAUUGGCUUGUUAUUGAUGAUGUGGUGUAAGUGUGAUAGUGUAAAAUUCCUCCCCAACAUGAUUAUGUACAACUUCUGUCGGCCCAGCACGGCGUGACCCGAAAUGGGCCCCGUCGUGCUGGGCCGAGGGUUUGGCCCAUGGCUCGGCACGGCAUGGCCCAUAUGUGGCCCAUGCCGCUGGGCCAGCAAGGCCCAACUCCAAGGCCUGGACCUCUGGGCAAUAAUUUUUUUAAAAUAUAAUUUUUCAAAUUUAAAACUUUUAUUCAAUUUUUUUAAUUCUAAAAUUUUGUUUAACUAUAUUUUUCAAUUUAUUUUUUAAAUUCUAUCCUAAUAAUUUUUAAAAUUUUAUAAAUUUUUAAAAAAAUUUAUUCAAAUAAUUUCUAUGCUUUAAAAUUUUCUCCAAAUAAUUUUUAACUCCUAAAUUUUUCAAAAAAUUAAUUUUUUUUAACCAUAGUGCUCCUCUAAUAGUUGAAAACAUCUAAAAGUAUUUUAUUUUUAAAAUUUUUAAAUAUAAAAAUUUUAAAAUGCAAAAAAAAGAAAAAAUACUAGGCCAAACACAGCCCGACCCGGCACGGCCCGUGCCAUUUGAGAAUGGUUCUUGCUGGGUCAGAGGUCCGAAAAGUUCAGCCAGCCCCGGGCUGUUUUGCCCCCCAAUAUGUUGGUCGUGCCGGACCGACACGACCCACAUUACAUCCCUCUAUAGUUGGAUAUUUGUUUUUUCCUAUUAUUAUACCGUUGGUAAGUACGUACAGAACAUGUUUGAACUAUCGUCCAUUUUGAAUCAGCUAUUCAAACUUUCAAAAUUUUAAUUGUGCCGUCUAAUCUUUUAAUUUGUUUGAUUUGAGUCAGUUAACGGCACUUUAACUUCAAAAUAUAAGUAAAUUACUUAUUUUAAUAAGUUUUAUAGGUAUGAGAAUUGAAUAAAGUAUACUAACUAAACAUGCAAAGAUAAAUAACCUAUUUAAAUUUUAAAGUUAAAUUGCCAUUGACUAACUCAGAUCAAACAAAUUGAAAGGUUCGACAGCAAAAUCAAAAUUUUGAUAAAUUAGAUAGCUAAAUCAAAAUAGUUUAGAUAAAUAGCGUUGUCCAAAUUGAAAGAUUCUCAGUGCAUGCAUUUUGACAAAUAGUGCUAUACCUUAUUAAACAGGCACAUAAAAAUAAAUAAAUAUAAUAUAAUAUAAUAAAUACUAAAGAGUCUCUGAUUUAUUUGUUUACCCCUCCUCCCUAACCAUAAUAAUCAGCACUAUCGGAAACAAAGAAAAAGGCAAACGUUUCUCUCUCCCCACUCACGUAUUAAAUUAUAUGAAACAAUUAUUUAUUCAGACGUUUAAAAGUUUGUUGGAUUUCUCAAAAAUUAUUAAAAACUAGUUUCACAUAAAAAAGUUCUCUAGUCUUCAUUUUCUAGUUAAAAUUUUGAAAAAAAAAUGAGAAGAGAUUUUUUCUUUUUUCGUAAAAUUUAACAGACAAAAAAAAUACUUUUCUAACUAUUUUUAGAAUAUUUGAUGAAGAAGAAAAUAUUUGUUGGAGAACGAUAUUUUUAAUAUUUAUAUUCAAUUCAUUUUAGAACAUAAAGUAAUCAUUUUUAUCCCAAUAUAUGGGCCAGUUGUGUUUUUAUUUUUUUAUCCAAAAUUUCCCAUUGUGAAGUUCUUUAACAAUUUGAUAUUUCGCAUCUGUACUGCUGUCCUUGCGCCACAAUCUUCUUCUUUUUAUUUUUAUUGUUUUUUUGAGAGAGAUAGGUAGCACGCUACCCGCUUCGUUUAUUUUAUUUAGAAAUAAACUUAGCUGAAAAUGUGAAUCAACUAGGAUUCGAACUUGGAUCUCGGGUACCAGUCAUCAAGCCCUUUGCCACUUGCUCUAGGGACGGUCGGUCGCUUUUUAUGUAGUUGGUUCCGAAAAAACACCAAACAUAUAAUGAGGGAUAUCAAUGGUCAUGGAUACCUAAGUUUUUUCCCGCGGUUUUAACUAUAAUCUAAAUGGAAAUAAUUUCGAUGAUGCUAAAACGGACAUAUUGUAUGUCCAGUCCUCAAAUUAUAAGUCAGGCAAUAUUUGUUAGCUUAAAGUAGUCGGCAUUCUGUCCUGUGUGACGGAAAACUCAAUUUAAUUAAGUUUCACAUCACUUUUACAUUAAUAUUUCGUCACUAUUUAAUUAAUUAAAUUAAGUUGUGAAACUUAAUUGCAAAAUUCUUAAAGUUCGAACUAGAAAUUAUCACAAAUUAAAAUUUGAGGACCAAAGUGCCACUCGUUAUAUAGUUUGAGGACCAAACGCGCGAUUCUAUCCAAAAAAAAAAAAAUCAAAACUGAGCAACUAUGAAUCAUGUAAUUUCCAAAUGGUGAAAACGUACACAAUUUAUCCGAACUAUGAAUUAUUUUGAAUUUGUUAUAUACCUAAUCUUUGAAAAUUUAAUUUUUAUACCCAGUAUUUUAAUUUGUUUGAUUUAAAUCAGUCAACUGUACUUUAGCUUCUAAAUUUGAAUGCAUUGUUUAUUUUUACAGAUUUAACUAGUAUACUUAAUUCAAUUUGACCAAUUAUCUAUUUAUUAAAAUAAAAUAAUUAGUUUAAAGUAAAAGUAUCUUUGGCUCAAACCAAAUAAAUUGAAACAUUGGCUAGUAAAUAAAAUUUUUAAAAUGCUAGGUUGUAGGUUCAAAAGGACCCAUAAUUCAGAUAAUUUUGUAUAUUUUUACUUUUCCGAAUCGAAUCCAAACCUUGAACAAACUCCAAAAUACAUUUAGAUUCAUAUAUAAAUAAAUUGAGGCCAUUUUAAUAAAAGUUGCAACUCAGUUCGCUGUUCACGAGCUAGCUCAUAUUCGCCUCAAAAUGAGCUCGAAAUUGGUCGAGCUCGUGUUCGGCUCAACAUAGCUUGUGUGUGUGUGUAUAUAUUAUAAAUCUCUACUAUUUGGAUUUUUCGCUGACUCAAAUACAAAGAGGCUUAUAUUUUGUGAAUUUCAAUUAUUUGAUUAAGAAUUUUUUUAAAAAAAAACUUUUCAUUCAGUAGUAGGGCUGACAAUCUAAUUUGUUGUUCGUAAGCCAGCUCUUGAUCGACUCGUUAAUAAAUAAGCUGAACAUGAGCUAAAUUUUUCAACUUAAUUUUUCAACGAAUCAACUUAUAUUCAACUUGUUUAAUAAACGAGCGUGUACUAGCCGCCCCAGCGUGCUCGUGUUUGACUUAUCACAUUAAAUGUUGCUAAAUUUUGCUUUUGCUACUUGAGAAUGGAUGGAUGGAGUUUAGAAGGCCCCACUUGCAUUUCAAGAGUUAAUAUGUUAGACAUUUCCUUGCUAUUAUUGGUAUGUUCUAAAUUUGACCAAUUUUAAUUUAAUUACCUACCAAUAUUAGACUAUUAAUUAAUGGAUCUAGAUCUAAUAUGAGGGGUGAAAACUGGUUGUAUAUUAUUUGAUCCCACUUGGCUCCAAAUCUGAAAAUUACAGUACGCAAAUUGGGUUUAGGCAAUCCAAUUCAGAUUCAGACUCAGAUUCAGAUCUUGAGUCGACAAUUUUUUAUAUUCGAAAUUGGAUUCAGAAUCAAAUUUAUCAUUCUUCUUUGGAUUCAAAUUUAGAUAUCGAAUUAUUCGAUUCAACAAAAACUAAUUUUAAUCUGUUUUCUGUAUACAACAUUCUUGAUGAGAUUAUUAUUAUUGGUAUGAAUUGAAUAAUAUUUAUCCAAUAAGACAUGAUGAGAAACUCCUCACAGCUCACAAGACAAGUCAAAAUUUUAUUUUGUAUAUGAUGUGUAACUUAUAUUCCGUACAUGAUUGUUUGGCCUUGUUUUAAUUUUUUAAACUUCGUACAAUAAAUUGCAGUUAGGCCAAAAUUUAUGUAAUUUUUACGACAUAUUUUCUUAAAAGAAUUCAUUUUCAAAACUUAUAUUUUCUGCUUACCAAAAAAAAAGAAAAAAAAUUAUGAGUUUUACAGUUUUAGCUACUUUUAGAUUACGUUACGGCUAUUUCUAGUGUAGGAAAGAGACUAAAUUACCGAAAAUUUUCUUGUUGAAAUCUAAUUUUUCACCUUUUUUUUUUCUAUUAUUUAGAAAUCUGUACUUUGCCCCCUUGUAAAAUGAAAAAUAUUUUCAUUAGGCUUUCGUUAUAAAAUAUUUUUUUAUACCAAAAAUACCCCCCGCCCUCUCUACUUUUGCUCCGCACUCCUCCGUCUCGCCACCUCGCCCUCCUCCACUGCCUCGCCCUCGCCCUCGCCCACAUCUCCGUCCGCGCCCACAAACACCCCCUCGCCCUCCUCCGCCGCUUCGCUUUCACCCUUGUUGCCCUACCCACCUCUCCAUCCACGCUCAUCUUGAUUUUCUCCCUAGUGUCACCGAAAUGGAGGAACGACAAGGGUGUAGGAGGAAAAGGAGAACAGGUGGAGAAGAAAAUGGAGAGGAACUGCGGCCGAUCGAGGCGCGAACCGCGGCCAAUCGAGACGGCGGAUGAGCAAGAUGAACGAGGAGACGAAAAUGGUGAGGGACAAAAUAGUCAUUUUGUCAUCACAGUUUAGUUUACACCGUACCCCUGUGAAUAUUUUUUAUUUUAUAAGGGAACAAAGUGUAGGUUUUUUAAAUAACGGGAGGAAAAAGUGAAAAAUCGAAUUUUGACAGAAAAAUUUUAUAUAAUUUAGCCUAGGAAAGAUAAGAAUUAGAAGUUUGAAGAUUGAUAAAGAUUUUCUCCCUAUGGCUAUUGGCUAUCCUUCCUUUUAUAAACAUAGAGAUUUUCACAAGAUAUUUACACCCCAUUUUUAGAACGAUUCUUUAAUUCUUCACUUAUUUCCCAAAUCUUCGGCAUUUAUUGUUUGAAUUUUGAAUUUUUAAGUGCACUUCUAAUUUUCACUUUUUAGAUCUCAUCGCAGCACUUAUCCAAAAUAACUUUUGGCAUGCUCCUUAUAAGCGAAAUUAAGCCUUUUUGCUAAAAGUACUAUCUAUAAUGGCUUUCCAUAUAUAAUCAAUCACCUACCGAAACUCAAAUUUUACGCUAAAGCCUUUCUUUGGCGUUACAUACGUCCCUUAUACUCGUUCGCAUAUUGGUGUCAAAAUUAUGUAUUUAUAAUAAGCACAAUUUAUUUAGAAAUAACAUAUCUAAUGCAUCAUUUAAAACUUAAAAAUAUCUUAUUUAUUCCCGAAUGACUAAAAUUUUCUUAUUGAUUUUUUUAAAAAAUUCCUCAAAUAUCCUCUUUUCCUUCUAGGUUUUACUUAUAGGAUUGAAUUUUAUAAGGAUAUUUUGAGUACUGAGGAAUAAAUUGAAUCCGGCUGCUAUAUUACCGGUAGUACAGAGGCCACCAAACUACCACUAAGUUGUUUUCAAUGAUGCGGCUUCCAAAUCGAUGAUCGGCUCUAUUAGACUUGAUUUAUACUAUUGAAAGUAUUUGAAAACUAAAUUUUAUAAUUUUUUAUUAUUUUUUACGUAUCAAAUGAGUAGUAUAAAAAUGAACAACUUAAAUUAAAAGUCUUAUAAAAUAAUGAUAAAAGAUUUGAAUUUAAAAUCAGAGGUAUCGAUCUUAAUCUAAAUAGUAAAAAAAAAAAUUAUAAAAACUUUAUCAGAUUUGAAUUGUUUUACACCGUUAAGUUUAUAAACGAAUGCAUCACAUCGAUCAUUAAAAUUAUCAAUUUUGAGACUUUUUGAUCACUAGUCAAAUAAUGUUGAAAAAUUAUGAAAUUUAAUUCUCAAAUACUUUUAGUAGUAUAGAUCAAGUCGAACGACGCGGAUCGUCGAUUUGAAAGCCGCAUAAUUGAAAACAACUUGAUAGCACGAAGACCUCCGUGCUACCGAUAGUAUAGCAGCCUAGCUCGAAUGAAUUUAAAAAUUUUCAACAAUAGCGAGGUCUAUCUAUAAAAUCAAAGUUCCCAUUCCCAUUUAUUUAUUCUACACACAAAAAAACAAACAAAAGGUCUAAUUAAGAUUCAGAUCUCCUAAUAGUACAGUGCUCACAUUUUCAACCCCUUGGAAACUCUUUCUGUCCACAAAAUAUAAAAAACCAAGAAGUGGAAACUUCUCGAUGCAGCGGCAGAGCAAUCAAUUAAAAAGGUCGGUGUUGGGACCAAAGUUAGACCAGUCAUACAGUGUGAGACAGAGAGAGAGAACUCAGAGAGAGACAAAUCCCAUGACCUAGAAGCUUACUUAGUUAUUAUGGGGAGUUGAAUANCACACAAAAAAACAAACAAAAGGUCUAAUUAAGAUUCAGAUCUCCUAAUAGUACAGUGCUCACAUUUUCAACCCCUUGGAAACUCUUUCUGUCCACAACUAAUAAAAAAGUCAAAUGAAAAGGUGCAUCACAUGCUCAAAUUCUUAUAAAAUUGUGGGCUAGUAGCUGGGGGGGGCUGGUAGGAAAAGUCAAAUGGAGAAAUGUACAUGGCUUGGGUUGGCUGGCUUUCAAUCCAAUUACAAGGGUAAAACCCUGUCGGCAUUCAACAAGCAGAAUCACCGACCGAUCAUACAUCGCGCAAUUGGCUGUGCAGAAUUAUCGAUCGAUCAUACAAAGCGUAAUUGACUGUGCAAAAUUACGUACCGACAGAUCAUACAUAACUUAGUCGACUGUGCAGAAUUACUGACCGAUCAUACAUAGCUUAGUUGAUUGUGCAGAAUUACCGACCGAUCAUACAUAACAUCGUUGAUUGUAAAUUUGAUGGUUAGUAUUUGAUUUUAUAAAUUAUAAAAAAUAAAUAAAAUAGAUACUUUAUUUUUUUUCUCUGACAAAAUACUGGUAUUCACCUCACCCACUUCAAAAUCCACCUUUUUUUUUUUUUGUUUUUAAAAAACUAAUGAGUGUGUUAGGUGGAUUAGACUUGAUUAUUUAACUCAAAAAUCAUAAGAAAAGGACUUAACUAUGUCCUGUAUUUAAAUCAUAACUAGCUCCGUGAGAUUGUAAUUAGGGAAAACUUCAAAAAACCCCCCGUGGUUUUGUAGUUUCUCACUUUGCCCCCCUGUAGUUUAAAAUGUAUCAAAUUGCCCCCUGUGGUUUCGUUUUUAUCUUUUCGGUAGCUUUUUCGUUAAUAUUUCAUUAAAUUAUAUUCAAAAAACUUCAGAUACCCAUCUAGAUUUAUCAAAUAUUCACUUUAGUACCCUUUAAUUUUCACUUUACCACUAAUUUAAGAAAAAAAAUAAUGAAAUUGAUAAGAAAAAGAGAAAAAAGAAACCACAGGGGGGUAAAUUGAUACAUUUUAAACCACAGAGGGGCAAAGUGAGAAACUACGAAACCACAGGAAGGGUUUUUGAAGUUUUCCCUUGUAAUUACGAUUGCUACUUUCAAUAUUUAACGUCACGUUAUAGAAGAACUUUGAUAGAUAUCAUCAUGUAUGUCACUUUUGUUGUAACAAAAUGUUAUUAUAUUAAAUUUUCUUACAAAAGAUCAUUAAUAUUUUUUUUUACUAUUAAAAAAUUGUCCCACAUAAGACUUAGCAAAUAUUUCCCAUAACCCUUACUAGAAUGUUCUAGCAACUGAGCAAUCAACCAAAAUUCUACCAAAAAAAAAAAAAUCAAUUAUCAAGAAAAAGAUAAAUCAAACUAAGGUCCAGUUUGGUAGUACAGUGGCGAAAAGCGCAUAUUUUAUGCUUUUUAUAAUAUAAAAAAAAAAAUAUAUAAUUAGAAGCACUUUAAAUUUUUAGGCUUUUCAAAGUUUAUGGCCAUCACAUUACCAAAAAUAGGCCUAAAUUUGUUUGCUCCCGUUUCUCGUUCCACUAUUUAAUAUCAAUUAUUUUCAAUAUAAUAUUUUGACAAAACAUUAAUAAUUUUUAAAUUGCACAAGACGCAAAACUGAAUUUUUUACUCUCAAAAAUUAGAAAUUGUAAAUCAAUACUUUUAAUUUUACAGCAGAAAGAAUAUCAUUACAAAUAUUUAAUAUAAUUUCUAUUUUACUAAAUAAUAUUUAAAAUAUUUUAUUAAUAAAAGAAUAAAAGAAUGUAAUUUAAAUUUUAGUAUGUUAAUGGACUGAAUUCACAACGAAAUGAAAGAAUAUUGCCCUAUCACAUAUGAAAAGAAAAACUAAAAAUUGAAGAAAAAAAAAAGUUUAUACUAAACGUCAAAACAUGUCGUAUUCUUUUUAUCUUUUUUUUGCUUAAAAAAAAUUUAGAAAAAAAUAUCAAUUCACUUAUCAAUUCACAGUUGACCUUACUGUUGGAUAAUCGAUAUUGACUAUAAUUCUAGAAACUCGAACGGUCAUAACAAUCAAUUUUAUUUAUAACAUACAGAUCCAAUGUAACCUGCCACCAAUUCAUCUAUAAAAUUUACAAUCCAUUUUUUUUUUCUUUUUAUAAAUCUCAGUGUGCCCCAACUUUUGAAUUGAUCCAAUCUUCAACAAGAAAGAAAAAAAAAGAAAAAAGAAAAAUUCAGGCACCCAAAGCAAAGAAGACACGUGCAAACCAACAAUCCAAGCCUGACAACUCUACCUCCGAGCCCCAAAAUAAUAAGAAUAAUAAUAAUAAAAUAAAAUAAAAUUAUGAGUUGCCGUCUCAAUGUUACAACUCGAUGCACAUCCAUUUGAACGCGUAAUUAAAGCUCACCAAAUCCCCACGCCAUCGCAUGCAUCUCAAAAAUAAAUAACUAAAUAAUUAUAUAUAUAUAUAUAUAUAUAUAUAUAUAUAUAUAUAUAUAUAUAUAUAUAUAUAUAUAGAGAGAGAGAGAGUUGAGCUAGAAUACUAUCGAUAGCAAACGGAUUUCGUUGCCAUCUAUUUGUUUUCGAUGAUAGAGCCUUCAAAUCGACGAUCGGCACUGUUGAACAUGAUCUAUACCACUUGAAGUGUUUAGAAAUAAAAUUUUAAUUCUUUUCGACAUCAUUUGCCUAAUGCUCAAAGGGUUUCAAAAUUUAUAAUUUUAAUGGUCGAUAUAAGGUGUUUUCUCGUUUAACGGCGUAAAAAUAUCCAAAUCAAUUGAAUUUUUGUUAGAAAAUUCUUUAAACAAUUUAAAACAAGAUCGACUCUUGAUCUUCAUAAUAAAACUCCUAUCAUCAUUUUUUAAAGAAUAUUCAUUUUCAGCUAUUCAUUUUUGUGUCGACUCGAUGGAUAUAUAAGAGAACAAUAUCAAAAAUGUAUGAAAUUUGAUUUCUAGAUACUUCAAGUGGUAUAGAUCAUGUUCAACGAUGCCGAUCGUCGAUUUAUAGGCUCUAUCAUCGAAAACAAAUGGGUGGCAACAGAGCCCGUUUGCUAUUAUUUUUGAUGAUAGAGUUUCCAAAUUGACGGUCGGCACCGUUGAACAUGAUCUAGACCAUUUAAAUCAUCUAGAAAUCAAAUUUCAUGCUUUAUUUGGCAUCACUAGCUAAACGAUCAAAGGGUCACAAAAUUUAUAAUUUUAAUGACCGAUAUGGUGUGUUUGCUCGUUUAACGGUAUAGAAAAGUUCAAAUCAACUAAUUUUUUGUUAAAAAAUUUUUUAAACUAUUUAAAAUAAGAUCUAGACUCUAGAUCUCAAAUAUAAAAAUUGUAUCAUCACUUUUUGAAGGAUACUCAUUUUCAGCUAUUUAUUUUUCUGUUCACUUGAUUGACAAGAGAACAAUAUCGAAAAUGUGUGAAAUUUGAUUUCCAGAUAGUUUAAAUAGUUUAGAUCAUAUUUAACGGUGCCGAUCAUCAAUUUGAAAGCUCUAUCAUCGAAGACAAAAUUGGUAGAAAAUCGAGUCGUUUACUACCGAUAGUAUUCUAGCAAAACUCUCUCUCUCUCUCUCUCUCUCUCUCUCUCUCUAUAUAUAUAUAUAUAUAUAUAUAUAUAACUAGGCUAAUAUACUAUUAAUAGUAAGUCAUUGGUGCUACUAAGUUUUUGGCCAUUGGAUUAAGAGAUAUGCGGUUAGGAUGAUGUGGGCCCCCUAGGGUUGAGUGGGUGGUUGAUUGAAUAGUAUGAUCUAAUGGGUGAAAACGAUCAAAAGGAUAGAUCUAACGGCGGAAAACUUGGUAGCACUAAGUGCUUCGUGCUAUUAAUAGCAUAGUAGCCGGACUCUAUCUCUCUCUAUAUAUAUAUAAUAGUAUAGAAUUAUUAUAAUAUCGGAAGUAUAGAGAAUUUGAUAUUUUUAAUUUUUUAUUCUUAAAUCGAGAAUUAUAUGGUUGGGGUGAUUACAGUUUUUCUUAUGAUUGAAUAAUACUUCUAGAGUUGAGUGAUUUUCAAAUAAUAGUAGUAUUAAUCUAAAAGUUAGAAAUAAUUAAAGAAACUAAUUUAAAGACAAAAAAAAAAAAUUGAAAGCAUCAAAUUUUUUCUACUUUUAAUAGGACAGUAGUUCUACUUUAUUAUAUAUAAUAAUAAUAAUAAUAAAAGUAAAGUAAGACAUUACAGUAUAGCGCCAGCCGUAAUUGGGGCGUUACUAAUUUUCUAAUACCCGUAUAAUACUUUGUCAACCCUUUUGCGCUUUCAAAAAUUAUUAUUAUUUAUUAUUCAAAAUGAAACCCACCCCCACCACGACCACCACCGCGUGGACAUCGACGAGCGCUUUUGAAUCCCUCAUCACCGUCAUCUUCCUCUUCCUCUUCCUUUGUGUGUGUGUGGUGUAUAUAUAUAUAUAUAUAUAUAUAUAUAUAUGACCAAGUACUUUUUCAACUCCACCAUCUCCACUGAAACCGCACCUUUGAGAAUCAAUCAAUAAUAAUUUUCGCAUUUCGAUCGCCUUUGGUUUUACUUUUACUAAUACUAAUGGAGGAGGUAGAGGUAGAGGUAGAGGUAGAGGUGCCGAGUUAUUUUGUGUGCCCGAUUUCGCUGGAGAUAAUGCGGGAUCCGGUGAUCCUGCCGUCGGGGAUCACCUACGACCGCCAGAGCAUCGAGCGCUGGAUCUUCGCCGACGGCAAGACGACCUGCCCCGUGACCCGGCUGCCGCUCCCGCUGCCGGCCGACGACCUCGACCUCGACCUCACCCCCAACCACACUCUGCGCCGCCUCAUCCAGGCCUGGUCCGCCCUCCACUCCUCCGAGCGCUUCCCCACCCCCAAACCCCCCCUCGACAAGCACUCCGUCUCCCGCCUCCUCCAAGAAUCGAGCGCCAGCCGGCACCACCUCCUGAGCUGCCUGCGGAAGCUCAAAGCUCUCGUCUCGGAGGGCGAGAGGAACCGCCGCUGCGUCGAGUCGACCCCCGGCGCGGUCGAAUUCUUGGCCUCGGUCGUCGCCUCCGCCGCCGCCGGCGACGACGCGGAGUGCGACGUCGCGAUCGACGUGCUGGCGUCGUUGAAGCUGUCCGAGCGGAGGAUCGUCGAGGCCGUCGCCGAGAAGAAUCCCGAGUUCGUGGACGCGCUGGUCGGAGUGCUGCGCCGACCGUAUUACCCGUCGCGGGCGCACGCGGUGGCGAUCCUGCGGUCGCUCGCCGGCGCGCUCUCCCCCGCGCGGCUGGCGGCGCUCGGCGAGGACUUGUUCCGCGAGGUGGUCAGGGUGCUGCGCGACCGGGUGUCGCAGCAGGCGACGAAGGCGGCGCUGCAGGCGCUCGUGGAGCUGGCGCCGUGGGGCCGCAACCGCGUGAAGGCGGUGAGCGCGGGCGCGGUGGAGGUCGUGGUCGAGAUCCUGCUCGAGGGGCCGGACCGGCGGACGUGCGAGCUGGCGCUGGCGGCGGCGGAGCGGCUGUGCGGGUGCGCGGAGGGGCGGGCGGCGCUGGCGAGGCACCCGGCGGGGGUGGCGGCGGUGGCGAAGAAGGCGCUGCGGGUGUCGCACGCUGCCACGGACCGCGCCGUCAGGGCGCUGUGCUCGGUGGCGCGGCACGCGCCCGCGGCGGCCGUGCUGGCCGAGAUGGCGAGCGUGGGCGCCGUCGCGAAGCUCUGCCUCGUGCUGCAGUCCCCCGACUGCGGCGACAGGACCAAGGAGCGGGUCAGGGAGGUGCUCAGGUUGCAUUCCAGGGUCUGGAGGAGCUCUCCCUGCUUGUCCCCGCAGUUCUUAGCCUUGUAUCCCCCUCCCUCCUCCUCCUCCUCCUCCUCCUCCUCUCCUCGUGACAUGCAAUGAAUAAUUAAUUAAACACAAGCUGUAGAUUUUGAUACUUUUGUUCCUAAUUUGGGCAUGCAUGAAUUGAAAAGUUAAACAUCAUCAUGCACGCCCAAUAUGUAAUGUUGAAAGUAAAAAAACCUUGUAAAGAAACCAUUUUGUUUCUGGUACGUGCUCUUUUCAAAUGCAUGUAUUCUUUUCAUUUAUAAUAAGAAGAGGAGAAAAUCAUCUAUUUUUAAAACUUGUUGUGGAUAAAUAUUAAGUUUUGCUGUAUAUAUUAUGUAUACAUAGUGCUAUAUAUUUUGACGAAUGAAUAUUGCUUCACCAGGCAUUAUAUGAGCGCUAAAGGAAAAAAUUGGUGGCGUCUUUUUUUCUGUGUGAUAUAAUUUGAUGUGUUAGAAAGAGGAAAGAGUACUAAUAAUUAGGGUGAAUGAUAUUAAGUGAAAAGGCCCAAGGAAAAAAAAAAGAAAAAAAGAGACUGAGCAGAAGAGCACUUAUCUACAUUUCAAUUUUGUUCAUGAUCAUUCAAUCGAUUCAUCUCUUAAUUGUUGUGGAUAAUUGCAUUCCCAAUGAUGUAGCAGAGUUCAUAUUUACUAACUAUGCUAUAUUAAUUACCUGCUAUAUAUUCAGAUCUUGAUUCCUCUAACACUGAGCUCUUUCAAGCUGAGUACAAAAUUACCAAUAUAUUAUGCAAUAUAUUAUGCUAGUCUAUCUAUACUGCAUUGAGAGAGAGUGAUAUCGAAGUUCAUUGUUUUGUUAAUAGCAGUUUGAGAUCAUAUAGAGCUAGAUGACUCUUCUCUUCUCUUAUAUAUUAUUUAUGUUUUUUUUUUUUUUUUUUUUUUAAUUAGCUUAAGGAAUGGAUUCUUCUGUGCAUCUUCAGCUCAAUUAAUGCUCCAUGUGUCAAUUUGCAUGAAAACAUUAGUUACAGGAAAUGAAUGAUUAUGCAAGCACAGAUCUUCUGUGGGUUGCAGUGUUUUCGAUUUGAUCUGGUACUAUCCAGAAGGGAAUAAUAUUAUUGACAAAAAGUAGGGGAGCUGUAACAUCAAUUUUUUAUAUAAGCAUGCAUGGUAUUUGGAAAGAAGAUUAGCUUGUUAAAUGAAGAUUAGCUUGUUAAAUUAAGGGCCUUUUGGUUAGAUAUAAUGAGAACUGUAAUAUAGUUAAAAAUAUAUAUAGUUGGAGAUGUAGUUGUGAUAUAUUGGACCUUAGUAAAGAGGUAAAAUUACAGUAUAAAUUUUUUUAGUCAGUAUUUUUAUAGUGCUUGACUAAAUUAAAAAUAUUUUAGCGUGAAAUAGAUGCAAGAACGAAUUUAAAAUAUGUAAUUUUNGCCGCCGUGCCCGGCAGCGCCGUGCUCGUCACCGACUGGGCCUGGGCGCUCGUCCGCGCCGGCCGCGCCGAGCACGCCCUCGACCCCCCCUUACUGGCCAUUGGCAGCAGCGGCGGCGGCAGCGGAGCGGGCAAUCCGAAGGGGAUCAUGGUGAGGUUCGUGCUGGUGGGGAUUCUGUGCGCGCACGCGAUGGUGGCGCUGCGGCCGACGAUCGCCGACGCGCUGCGGAUGCUGGAGGGGGACCUCGAGGUGCCGGACGUUCCGGACCGGCCCACGCCGCUAGGCUUUCACGGGCUGAUAUACGGCGACGGCAGCGGGGCGGAUACGUUCGCGGCCUCGCCGGCGCUCAGCGGCCCGUGCUUGGACGCCGGAGACAUGCUCAGGUGAGAAGAGAAAGGUGGCCGUUUUAAGGUGUUUGAUGAAAUACCUGGUUCUAUCUUAAUCUGGAGGAGGAGAAUAUUAUCAUGUCCUAUAUAUUGUAAUGUAAUUUACUCAGAACGGUGAUUUUUUUUUUUUUUUUUUUUUUUUCGUAACGAUCGAUUGGCGCGUGCUCGUGAUUUUUUCGAUGUUUCCAUAUUGGGGUUAGUAUCAUAAUAUUAUAAUUUUUCGUUUAGCCUCUUUUGAGGGAUUUUUGUAUAAAUUAAGAUUUAGAAGCUAAUUUUGUUUAUACAUUUUAGGAGUUGAUUUUGUGUGAUUUUCAUAAAAGUUUUGAACCACUCUGAGGUAUCGUGGUUGCCAUUCAGGCUAAGAGAGCAGUAACUUAUUAUCUCACUAUCCCAAUUACCGUUCUGUUCUUCGAAUUUGCAAUAUAUGUGAAUUCCGUGUUGUCAAAAUUGGCGUACUAAUUUUUAUAUUAAUAUUAUAUUAUUUAGUUUAUGAGAUAAACUAUUGAUAUAGUUAAGAUAAUAAAAGUAUUUUUGACACCUUUCUGUAGAGUAUAUUGAGACAUACAUAUUUUUCACUAUUAGUAUUAUAUUAUAUUAUCUUGGAGGCCAAUAGAGAAUGAUAGAUAGUGUGAGACUAUAACUAUAUUUGUGACACUUUGACAGUAUUAUCACAACCUAUUUGAUUAUUGCAUUUGACUAUAACUUGUACGCUAUUUUGACCUUGACAGUGAUACUAUACUCGAUUAGGGUAGCGCCCCCGCGAGUGCCAUUCCGGAUGUUGGGCUAUGUGAUAUUAUUAUGAUAUGGAUUUGACAAUAGACUGCGUGGUAGCGAACCACUAUAAAUGGAUGCUGAACAUGAGGCGUCGCAGGCUAGAUCUGACUGUUGAGUCGAUCACUGUGAUUGAAUAUUAUUGUUUUAUUCAGUAUCUAACUGAUACAUGAAAUAUAUGAUUCACAGGUUAAUUUUAGUUAUAUUGUAGAGAUAUGAUAGUAAUAGUUCCUCUCAGCAAUUAUUUAUAUUAGUAUUUAUUUAUUUCCACUGGUUAGUUAUUUACUAUUUUUGACUCUUAUGGACCUAGUGGUGUAGACCGUCGGCGUUGACUAUCGUCCCCACUGGCGAUUAUUGAUUAUAGUUUUAGGCCCUCUUUAUUAAUAUUUUAUUUCAGAACCUUUUGCACCAGCUACUGAUCGAGAUAAAGGAAUUGCAAAUAGUUAGCAUUUUCUAUCCUUUUUGUGUGUGUAAUUGGACCACCUAGCAGUGUGUUUUGAGAUUUGAAGUGGUCGGAGAUGUUAUACCAUUUUGAGGAUUAGUGUAAUAAUGAUUGUAUGUUUACAGUGUUGCUAUAGUGUAUAGUUUUUAUUUUACUUUAAUACUACUGUUGUUAAAUUUUAGUUAACUAUUUUUUGGACAGCUUUUGUUGACGCUUCGUAUGUAUAAGAUGUAUCCUUGUACAUGUGGUGGGUCUGUUGACGUAAUCCGGGCUUCUGCAGUAAUUCGGGUUGUGAAAGUAGUAAUUAUAUUUAUAUAUAUUUCGUUUGAUUGGAUGCAGUAAGAAGCGUUAUAAUUAUAAAUUAUUUAUUUGAUUGUAUGUAAUUGAGAAAUGCAUUUAAAAAAAAAAUAUUUCUUUAUAUUUUGUGGUGGUGAGAUUAUCUUUAAUGUAGAAAGAAAAAAGAUAUAGAUGUUUUUUAUUCAAAAAAUAAUUACAAAAGUAAGUUUAUCUUCUGUUUACAGUUAUUUUCUCCAACUAUUAUAGUUGAAACAAUGAGUAAUUUGAGCGUGGUUCCAACUGCUGUAAUUGAAUCUCAUUAUGCAGCUCUAAUUGUAGCAGUAAACCCAAACAUAGUAAACCAAACGCCAAAUUUGAAAUUACAUAUACGUAUAACAGUAAUGCAAUUGCAACUAUAAGUAACCUAACAACCUGUAAGUGUAUCUUAAUGCACAUGCAGUAGUUAACAUUUUUUUUUUUUUUUUUUUUUUUUGAGAGAUAGAUAGCACGCUACCCAUUUCGUUUAUUUCAUUUAGAAAUAAACUUAGUUGGAAAUAUGAAUUAAGUAGGAUUCGAACUUGGGUCUCGGUUAUCAACCACCAAACCCUUUACCACUUGAUCUAGGAACGGUCGGUAGUAGUUAACUAAUUAAUAAGUAAUAUUUAUAAGUUUUCGCCAUUUACAACUUAGAUUUACGGAUAUAAAUAAAACACGUACGAGUUAUUGAUAAACCCUGAUGCGUUGAAUUUGAUCAACUCUAUUAUGUAACCAUAGAUCAAAUUUCAAGCAAAACUAAUUUUUGAAAGUUCUUACUGUUAAGGUUACGGGGCAUUAAAAUUAUUUUUCUUUGUUUUUUUAAUUUUCCAGGCCCAUAUAUAGUUUCCACAUCUCAAAAAAGCCAAUAACAACAUACAUAACUUUAUUUUUUUCUUUUUUUGUUUGCUUAAUUUUUUUUUCUUUUAAUAGAUUCCAGGAUUUCCGAGUAUCAACGAGCCGAACACGAGCGAGAUGCGGCCGGCUUGUGUUUGGCUCAUUUCAUAAAUGAGCCGGACACGAGCCAGAUCGUUAAAGUGUCGAGCCGAAAAAUUCAGCUCGUUUAUUAACGAUCCAAACACGAGCUGGCUCAUGAAUAAUAAGUUAAAAGAAUUAUAAAAGAUGUGUAUAGAAAAUAAAUUUAUGUGAUCCUAUCUAUUUGAUUUUGAUCUAAUAGUUGAAAUUUUAUAUAUAAAUGACUUUUUUAUAAUUGAGUUGGGCUUUAUAUUUAGAUUAAACUAAAAAUUAAUUAAUUAUUUAUAUAUAUAAAAAUAUAAAAUAUAUGUAUUCGAGCUGUUAUCGAGUCGAACACGAGCGAGCUAACCCCAGCUCGUGUUCAGCUCCUUUACUAAACGAGAUGGAAAAUUCAACUCGUGUUCGGCUCGUUUACUAAACAAGCGAUUUGAUCUCGAGCUUAUUUCGAGCUGAACAUGAGCUACUCGCGAACAACGAGCUGGAUUGACACCCCGACCGCGCUGGAUAAGUCUCAAGCGUAUUUACUUUUUCAACGAAUUAAGCUAACUGUGCAUGCUUUUUUCCAACUCUUUGUCAAAAAAAAAUAAACAAAAAGAUGAAAAAUUUUAUUUUUUAAAAAAAAGUCCUUUUUCUUUCUCCACUUUUGAAGUAAAUAGAAAUUGACCAUCACAGAUGCUCAGCUUCUCUCCAUUCUUUUUCUUUUCCAUUUCUUUUUUCUUUUUUUACCUCAAGUUUCAAUCCAAACAAUUUCUUCUCUCCAUCCAAAUAAUAUGUAAUAAUAAAAUGCACAGAACUAGUAGUGAUCCAAUAUGUAAAAUUUUUUAUUUUAUUUUCUUGCAUCAUGUCCACAUGCUUCUGAACCCAUAUGUGACAUUUUGGAGAUAUUCUCAAGUUAAUUGGAAAAGCAUUAAAUACAUGAGAAUGAUAAUCUACCAACCGUACUUGGAGACUGUUUGGUUGUACGUAGUUCUAACCGCACUGUAAUUAUAACUAUAUGUAAAUAUAAAUUUGGUGUUUGAUUUGAUAUAUUUGAUUCCAACUGCUACAGUAGGAAUUGUAGGACGCCCAAGCUGUCCAAUUGCAGCAUAUCGAACUACGUCCAAAUUGACCGUAGUUCUAAUUACACCAGUUAAAAAGAAUAAUUUUAAACAAAAAAUAUGCUUACCUUUUUAAUUAUAUAUAUAUAUAUUAUUAGAGUUAAUCUCACCAUCAUAUAUAUAAAAUAAUAAAAUUUUAAAAACAUUUCUCAAUUGUAUACAACCGAACAAAUUAUUUAUAGUUGCAGCGCUUUCUACUAAAUUCAACUAAACAGAAUGCAUAUAGUUACAACUGCUGCUUUUUCAACUACAUGGAUUUUCAACUACACUGUAAUAUAUUAAUCGUUUAGGACGAAAACGACUUUCCUCCUUUUCACUUCCACCCCACUUUCACCCGAACAAACAUGCCCUUAGCUAAGGAUUUUGAUGGUGAGUAUUUGAAAUCUCAAAUUUGAAGUUUAAUUAUUUUAUAUUUUAAGUUUAAUUUAUUUCUUAAAAAAAAACUAAACAAAGUAGAUAAUUUAAUGGAUAAAAAUAGUCAAAGGGUUAAAUCUAACGGCGGAAAACUCAAUAGCACCAAACGCUUGGUACUAUCGAUAGUAUCCCAGCAGGACUGUAUAUAUAAAACUAGGCUGAAAUACUAUCGAUAGCACCAAACGCUUGGUGCUAUUGAGUUUUCGGUUCUUGGAUGAAAAAACGUACGGUUACGAUGAUGUGGCCGGGCCCCCUAGGGUUGAGUAAGUUAUUUGUUCAAUAGUAUAAUUUAAUGGAUAAAAAUAGUCAAAGGGUUAAAUCUAACGGCGGAAAACUCAAUAGCACCAAACACUUGGUACUAUCGAUAGUAUCCGAGCAGGACUCUCUCUCUCUCUCUCUCUCUAUAUAUAUAUAUAAGAAACUCUUCAUCAAUAUGCAAUGGUUUGAAAUUGUCAAUAGGACUCAUUUAUUAUGGUUUAGAAUGAUUAGAAUUAUCAAGAAUAUUUCAAAUCAAACGGCUCAAAAUUCUGGGUAGAGAUUAAUCUAGAAGACUCUAAACCCAUUCAAAUUAAGUAAUCAAAUAAAAAGACCCAAGAUACCACUUCAAUUCAUGGAAAAGAACCAUUAAAUUUUGUUUUGUUAAAAUUUUAAGUUGUAAAAACAUAAAAUUAAGUUGUGACAUUAAAAUUUGAAAUGUUUGGACACAUGUUUCCAAAUGAUAAGCUUAAUUACAAUCACUGUAAAAUAUUAAAAGCAUUGCUAUGAUAAUCAUAAUCUAUUAUAUAUUAUUAUGAGCUGCUGAUAUAUUGAUAUCUGAUAAUUAAUGUUAUUAUGUAAACUAUUGAAUGACAGGUGUAAAUGUGUAAUAUGAUGAACUUGCAGGUUUUAUAGCAGUAAAAAAUUAUUAUUCUAAGUGAUAAUAUAUUUUAAUAAAAAUAAAAAUUUUUAUCUAUGACUUUUCUACUUUGGAUCACCAUAAUUAUAUCAAAAGUUAUAAUUUUUAGUUACUUUUCUCUUCUUUCCAAUUUUAUCCCUACUUUGGAUCAGAAUACCAAAUUAUUAUCUAUUAAAUAUUACCAUUCAUUAUACGAUACGGUAUCGACCCCAAAGAAUGUAGUGAAGCGCCUCAAAAUUUUAAAACCCUCGCUCACAAUGUCGACCCCUCCCACCACCUCCUCGUCCUCGUCCUCGUCCUCGUCCUCUUCCUCUCCUCCUCCUCCUCCUCACCUCGGCCAUGGCGACGCGGCGCUCGACGUGUUCUGGGACGAGGGCAUGCUCGGGCACGACGCGGGCGCGGGGGUCUUCGACACGGGCGCCGACCCGGGCUUCCUCGACGUCCUCGACCGCCACCCGGAGAACGCCGAUCGCGUGCGCAACAUGCUCUCCGUCCUCCGCCGCGGCCCCAUCGCCCCCCUCCUCUCAUGGCGCCCCGGCCGCCCCGCCGCCGUCUCCGAGCUCCUCUCCUUCCACACUCCAGGUCGCUUACUUGAAUUCAUUUCCCUUUAGGGCAUGUUUGGUUCGUGAUUGAAAUGGGGAUGAGAAAUGAAAUUGGAUUGUGUUGGAAUGGAAAAUGGAACGACGAAUCAUCAAAAAAAUUGUUUUUUGUUUGGUUCAUUAUUAGAAUGUAAAUCGGAAUGAAUAUCUAGAAUUUUGAGAGUGUUUUGAUUAAGAGAGAGGGGAGUGAGGAAAGGGAGAGGAGUGGAAGGUGUUUCGGUGGUUUACUUUGGAAUGAGCCAAUCCGGAAUUCAAGGUUGGAUUGGGCCAUAAAUGAAUUGUGCUAGUGGAAUGGGAAUGAGAAUCCGAUUACUGUAAAACAAACAACAACUAUUGGAAUCAAUGAAUUUCAUUUUGAUUUCAUUGUCUAAAAUAGAUGAACCGAACAAGCCCUUAAUUCAGAGGAAUUAAUCUCAAUUUGUUUGGAAAUGAGUUUUGGCCAUGUUUGGAUGCUAGAAUAAGAUAUCAGAUUAUAAUUUAUUCAGUACGAAGAUUUUUCUGUGUGAUUGGAAGUUAGGAGUUUAAUUUUCGAUGCUCGAAAGGUAUUGUCAUCCAUGAUUUGGUAGAAUACAUCUUUCACCUACGAGUUGAUUUAUCUUAUUCCAAAAAAAUGAUUUGUAGGGUAAAUAUGAUUCCCAUUUUGGACACCUGACCACGCGCCUCAUCUACCAAAAAUUAUAUUCAUCUUGUGUAAAUCGAAGAAAUAUACCGAAUAAGAUUUCAUGCAUUCGAGCAGAGCCUUUUAAGCCUCUCAUUUUUUACAAUUUGUUUUAUUUCACUUAGUAAGUAUGAGUUUCAAUUUAUUCACAAGUUAAUUUUGGCCUCAUUUGCAUGUCAGAAUAAGUUAUCCUGUGAUAGCUUAUACUCUAUGAAGAUUUUUUGUGUGAUCACAAGUUAGGAGCUUGAUUUUAGCUCAUUAGAGGGUCUUGACAUCCAUAAUUUGGUAGAAUAGUGAAUUUCACCUACAAAACGAUUUGUCUUAUUUUUUAAAAAAAGAUUUGAAGGCUGAAUAAGAUAUACCUUUCUAGACAUUUGAUUGAUCUCUUCAUUUACCAAAAUGCUACAAGCUUCUCAAGUAAAUAAAAGAGAUAAGUGGAACAAGAUAUUGUUUGUCUAAAACUAUACCUUUGUUUGUCUAAAAACACAAUGGAACGAAAAUGAAUUCCAUCCAAAACUAGGCCUUUGUUUGUCUAAAAACACAAUGGAAUGAAAAUGAAUUCCACUUUCUAAUGAUGUUUGGAAAGACUAACGAAUUCAUUUCAAUGUUGUCGUUCUUGCUUCUUUUUUUUUUCUUUUCCUGUUUCAACCUUGGAUAAAUAAUAAGAAAGUUAAAACUUUGAAAACUAAAUAUGUUCAAACUAUUUCGUCAACCAUAGUAUUCGACCCCGUGUAUUAUAAAAGUUAUUGUCUUUAUCUACAACUGCUUGAACGAAGAGAUAUCUAAGACAACUAAUAUCAAUGCUUGAAUGAAGAGAUGUAUAAGACGACUAUGUUCCCCUAAUAAUAAACAUCUAUGUUGAACUGAAUAGGAUUUGAGAAUUGGGUUGUAUUUUUGGGGCAAAUAUAUACAUACAUAUCCUCGCAAAGUUUAGAAAUCACACAUUUGUCCUGUAAAGUUUUAAUUCUUGAACGUCUUCGUAUUGCUUUAAAUUUUCAAAAUUUGCAAAUCUGUCCCUGUCAAAUUUGGCUACCAUCAGUUGAUUGCUAAUUUUUCACUGUUAGGAAGGUUAGCCCUUUUGACAAGCUUAUUCUUGUCACAAUUUUUGAGAGAGGAUUUAGGGUUUAUGUUGGAUAGCUUGAGAGAUAGAGCAGGACAUUACAAAUUAAAAAAAAAUGACAUUAGAAGAGCAUUUAAAAGGAGAUCUAUUUUCAACAGUUGAAUGGUCAUUUUAUAGGAAAAGGUCAACUUUAACUGGACAACCAUUAGAGAGAGAAUAAUUGCAAAUCCAAAAAUUCAGAGGGAGAUAUAUGGUUAUUAAAACUUUUGAUGGACAUGCAAUUUUCCCUUUCCUUUUUUGUUUGUCGAAAUCGAAAUAUCGAAUAGUACGACUGUCAUUUGUUAUUCAAGAGUGUUGUUAGUUUGUGAAUCAUUUGCGCCUAGAAGAGUAUAUCUUUGAUGGUUUUGCAAACAAAGUUGUGAAAUAAACUUGUAAUUCAAUAUUUAAUGUAUCAUGAACUAGCUUAUCAAGUUUAGUGACUGCUACAAAUGUCCCAAAAUGAAUGUAAAGUGUAGAACAGGAAUCAAAUAAGCUAGCAGCAACACUUACUUUUGUUUAAUUGAAGGCUAUGGUGCUCGAUAUUAAGGAUCGAUUAUGGUGAUCUUCUUGUAUUCUGUUUAAUCGAAGAGUGCACUGCUUAAUUUUAAUGAUAAGUUUUGGGGAUCCAUUUGUUUAGUGCUGUCACACCCGCUAUACUUGUUAGUAAGCAGUAAAUUGGGCGUAAGUAUUAUGGGCAUGUUGCUAGGCAGGCUUCUGUAAAAUUUCUACCCAACAGGCUCAUAUAUUAAAAAAAAAUGAUAUCAAAGCUAUUCCCGAGGUAAUUAUAGGAUUUGAAUAAUGUUAUUAGAGCCCCUCCAGAAUGUGGACUUGAUUGAUCAACCCUAUCCUGCAUCGGAAAAAAUUCGGGAAAUGAACUGGCAUAUAUGUAGAACCAUGUUCUAGUGCGAGUAGCUAGUCUUAAUCCCUUGAGCAUUUUCUGACCUUUUGGCUUUGUGUGUAUUAGUUUCUUUUAGUUGGAAAUCUAUAGAAAAUGAUGCAAAUGCUUAUUGUCAAGGUGCCAAAUAUAUUAGGUUACUAGAAAGAAAGCACAAACACUAUUUGCACCGUGAGUCUAUCAACAUGUUGAAUGAUAGCGACUAGACAAUUCUCUCUCAUUGUCAUUGAUGCUAGAAUUUACAUCUUAUUCAUUUAAGUGAAUGGUGCUAGAAUUUACAUCUCAUUCAUUUAAGUGAAUGGUGCUAGAAUUUGCAUCUCAUUCAUUUAAGUGAAUGGAACUAGUCGUUCUACUUGAGGGGAAAGAAAGCUGAACUCCAUAUACAUCUAGAAGCUUUGUCCAUCCAACUAAUUAGUCUUAAAUUCAAUAUGCUUGGUUUGCUACGAAUGUGCCAUCGUCAUAACGAUAUCGCAAGAAUACGAGCAAUAUUCCUAUUAGUUCAUUAGAAAAGUGUGAUUUUAACUUAAUUUGAAUCAAUGUUUGCUUUUACUUUCUCUACGUUGCAAGAAUAUUCAAAUAAUUUUUCUUUUCAACAGGAGGGUCCCCUUUGCUCUGUCAUAGUUGUUGAUCUGCUUAUACAAAAUGGAAUCAUCUAAUUGCCUCGUUUACAAUUUUUUUUGUAUCUCUAUUUUUUAACAUCUAAGUACUCUAAUUAAGCGCGACUGUUGGCACCUACUAAUUUAUCAGAAUACAUAGAGGAAUUGGUACAAGCCAAUGCAGCUGGAAGCAAGGAACUCUGUGCUGGAACUUUUAUGAACCCUGGCUCGUGGGGUGCUGCCCUUAUAUCAGCUGGAACAACACUAUCCGCGAUGAAGCAUAUAUUAGAUGGCCGUGGAAAGCUAGCUUAUGCAUUAGUCCGCCCGCCAGGUCAUCAUGCUCAGCCUAGUCAAGCUGAUGGCUAUUGCUUUCUCAACAAUGCUGGCUUGGCCAUACAGCUUGCCCUAGAUUCUGGUUGCAGAAAAGUUGCAGUUCUUGACAUCGAUGUCCACUAUGGUAAUGGAACGGCAGAAGGGUUUUACCGCUCAGACAAUGUGCUCACAAUCUCAAUCCAUAUGAACCAUGGUUCCUGGGGCCCUUCGCAUCCUCAGAGUGGUUCGAUUGACGAAGUCGGUGAAGGAAAUGGGUUUGGGUACAAUUUGAAUAUACCUUUGCCCAAUGGAAGUGGGGAUGAAGGGUACUCAUAUACGAUGAAUGAACUGGUCCUUCCCGCUAUUGACAAAUUUGGACCCGAGCUUAUUGUUUUUGUUAUCGGCCAAGAUUCUAGCGCGGUAAGUUGAAUUUUAUUGCUUUUUGAGUGCAAGCUUUUUUUCACAUCAUGCAAGAUUUAUAUUCUGUUCAAAUAGUUAAGGUAAUAGAGAACAUUUUUUCUUCUAUUUUACAUGACUAAAUUGCAGGUCUUUUUAAUGUUGCCAACCUCCUAAAUAUAGAAAUUUCAUCGUCUUGCAUUUAAUACAUUUUGCAUCGUACUGAAAGAAACAGUAGAUUUGCCAUGUUGUAAGUUGAGAAAAUAGAACAUCUAGCAAAAUUGAAUUUAUAUUCUGAUUUCUGAAUGCUACAUCUGCACUAACUUUGUUGGAUUUGGAAGUAGUAGAGUGAAACUAUGCCAAUUAGCUUUGCCUAUCAGUGUGUUACUAAACUAAAGUUUCUGAAGGACAUAUAUGCAAAACAAUGAUCUUCAGGGGUUUAUAUAUAGAAUAUCUCUAACAUGUAACCUAUUUUUCAGUUUGAUCCAAAUGGAAGGCAGUGCUUAACCAUGGACGGCUACAAGGAGAUCGGAAGAACAGUACGGAAAAUGGCCGAUAAGCAUGCCCACGGACGGCUCCUGAUCGUCCAGGAAGGGGGCUAUCACUUGACAUACUCGGCAUAUUGCCUCCACGCAACCCUAGAAGGUGUUCUCAAUCUCUCAACUCCACUUUUAGCCGACCCUAUCGCCUACUAUCCCGAAGAUAAGGCAUUCACUGUCAAAGUCGUCGACGCCAUAAAGCGGUACUGGAUAGAAUCUAUUCCUUUCUUGAAAGAGCUUUAGAAAAAGUUGUACAUCUUCUCAUAUUCUCACUAGCUGGUGGGCUUGUUGUAAAAUUAUGUAUGCGCAUAGUUGUAGUGAUAAUAAUUAUAUUAAAUUGUUUACUUCUUAGUGCCUUGUACCUUUUAAAGUUGUAACUUUGUUCUUGUGCAAUAUUUUUGAUUAAUGCCCAAGUUUAGGGCUUUUGCAAUGAACUAUGAAUACAUAUGCUAUAAUACUAUCAUUAGCAGAUAGGUUUUGUUGCUACAGAUUUAUUUUUGAAGAUGAAGCCUUCGCAUAGACCACUUGAAAUAUUUAAAAAUCAAAAUUUAUAUAUUUUUUUAUAUUACUUUUUUGUGCAUCAAGUGGGCACAAAAAUGAACGGCUGAAAAUAAUUGCUGUUCAAAAAGUGAUGAUAGGAUUAUUGUGAUUAAGAUUAAGAGUGUAGAUUUUAUUUUAAACAAUUUAAAGAAUUUUCUAAUGAAAAUUCAACUGGUUUGAAUUCUUUUUAUGCCGUUAAACGAGCAAAUGUCUUGUAUUAAUCAUUAAAAUUAUAAAAUUUGCAAUCUUUUAAUUAUUAGGUAAGUGAUGUCAAAAAAAUAUAUAUAAUUUGAUUUCUAUAUCCUUUAAAAAGUGGUUUAAAUUAUGUUCAACAGUAUCGAUCUCUUAUUUCAAAGCCCUAUCAUAAAAAAUAAAUAGAUAGCAAUAGAGUCUGUUUGUUACUGGCGAAUAAAUAGAUAGCAAUAGAGUCUGUUUGUUACUGACGGUAUUCUAACGCAUCUCUCUCUAUAUAUUUUUUUUCUGCAAUACUCUUGUUUCUGAAAA
rnacentral:lncRNA from 1 species